rnacentral:lncRNA from 7 species
GAGGCCCAAGUCAAGGCAAGGAGAACUGAAGGAGGACUGAUGGGUUGAGAUCCAGACUCGGAAUUGGGGGACCACAGGCACGGCCACUGAGAAGACUUUGCAGAGCAUCUUGUUGCCGCUUACAUUUCUGGCACCAGCUCUUUCAAACACUGCCAGCUGGAUUUUAUGACACCUCAUUGAGGGGCUGCCAGCAGUCAGGUCACAGUGCCAUAGACCUCCAGAUGGAAAAACUGCCUAUCUUCAGCUCUGCAGACAUGAAAAAGUGCAAGUGGGAAAUGCUCACCUAAUGUACAAAAGUAACGUCUAAUAGCUGGAGAAGGUCUGAAGAUCCUGUCAACUGCAGGUUGGAGAUGGUUAUCUCUGGGAGGACAUUCCUCAUCUUUUCCAUAUGUUCAAAAUAAACUGUCUUCUGUGAUUCCGAAGCUCCCUUGGCAGGAGAGGAGAAGUGUUGAAAUAUCGUAUUUCACAAUUUUCCAGACCAAAUGCUAACUUAUCUGAACGAUACAUUGCUGUAUGAUUCAGUAAAUAAGCUCCCCAGUCCUCUGGAAGUAGAUAAUAACUUUAAGUUUUCAUUGCUUUAUAGUCAAAGAGGUAUCUCUCAGUUAUCAUAAACGUUGAGCAAACAGUGAUAUGGAGCCAAGGAUCUUUUUUUUUGCUUGUAGAGAAUAUUUUCAUUUCUGUGCCUCGUUGAAGGCAGCCAAUUAUUCCCCUCUCAUCUGUAUAGUGAUCGACAACUAACUGAAACAUUUUGAUGUUAUAGUGGAUGAGACAUCACCGACUACAAGAAAAAGCUGUUCUUUUAAACAAAGCUUUAACUUCUAUGUUGUUUGAAAAAAUAAAGCAGUAAGAAUGGCAGCGCUUGAUACUGGUACUGUGCAGAAGCUUUUGUCCUACCAUGUUACGUGUGAUUGUAAUUCUGAGUAAUUCUUGGGGGAUCACGUCAUCUGAUUUGCACAUUUCUUUGAGUGUGUACACAAGCUCUCAUGUAUUUCUCAUUACAAAAUAUACCCAGAAAACUCACACCGUUCACAGUCAUUACAUCUCCAUAAGAAAGGAUGGGUAGCUUUUUGAUACAUAUUUGUUGCUUCUUUAGCAGCCAUCUUUCCUGUGAUUUCAUGUGUUUUAGCAAUCAGGAAUACUUCAAGAGCUUUGUUAUUAGAAACUACAUUAGAUCUUUUUCAUAAUUCAUGUUUUUUGUAUGCUGUCUUACCACAAGCAAUUCAGAAACUUCUCCAUAAGUGACCAUGAGACGUCUGACGCUUGCUGCCUUCUUUACUGCUCCAAGCCAGAUUAUUUCUACACUUACUUGGGAAAGAUUGCCACCUCUUCUUUUUUCUUUGUUCUACUUUUUUUCCCCCUUUGACGUGGGGGUUUUAUUGACAUUUUGAUGGAACAGUAUCUGUUCAGUUGUCCCAGUCCUGGCCCAUGGAGUAGUGUAACUUGAGCAAAUUACUGUAUGUAAGUAAAACUUAAACUAAGCCUUAAAUCAUGAUGGUUUUGUCAGCUUUCAAAAUCCUGUGAACUAGGCUGUCUGAUCCCAGUCUGUGCACAGUAUAGAUGGUAUUCAGACAAUGUAUAGGAGAUAAAAUCAUUAUGAUUACAAAAAUUUUUUCUAUCAAGGUUCAACGUAGCAGCAGCUCUUUUGGUAAGCAAAUGACUUUGAAAAUUAUUUUCAAGCACCUCCUUGCUUUUCGUUCACGACAGAAUUCAUCCUUGUACAUUCAUUUUUAUGUUGUUUUAAACAAAAUUUAAAACCCUUUAUGCUAAAAGUUCAGCAUAAGUAUAAUAUACUAUUUUUUUAAGGUCAAGAUGUCAAGAUUCCACCUGAAAAAGAAGGUGUGGAAAAGUAUAGGAAGGUUCCCCCACAGGGAUCUUAAUUAAUGAGGGACCCAUCAGGAGAUCUGUCUCUUAGUGAAGUGCUGGUGGAAGAGGUUAUGGGCUCCAAUUGGGCAAUGAACAAUGCCAACUCAUUGGGACCAGAUGGUAUUUACCCAGUGGUUGUACAGGAAUCCAAGGAUGAAAUAACUGGACUUUGACUCUUGAUCUCACAUUUAAAACUAGUGUGGUGUUUGAAGACUGGAAGUUGGCAAAAUAACACCUUUUUUAAGUUGUGUAAACAACAACAAAAAAGCCCUAACAAAAAAACACUUUUGUUCAAGGGAUUUUGAAGAGAACUACAGAUCAGUAAUUCUAAUAUCUGCACUUGGGCAAAUGCGUAAAAACAUAACUUAUAAACAUGGACAUAAUGAGAAACAUAAAUAAUAAACUUGAACAAAUAUGCUGUC